CUUUUCUCCUCCCCUUCCUUCUCUUCGGACACUUCUCAGGGUUUAGAAAGAAUCACAGGAAGAUUCUCAAAACAAAGACUUCUGGUCACAUGCAAAGCCAAAUCACCAGGUCUUCUCAGGAGGAAACAUGAUUUGGGAACUGGAAGAGGCCCUCCCACAGGCUCACUUUAUAAACGACAUGACCUGGGUGCUGUGAGAGGAAGUGAAUUAGUGGCAGAGCGGAGGGACUCUUGACCCACGUGCCCUGAGCUGUACCAGCCUAUCUGCUUCCAAGCUAAAGCAUCUUCCUGGCGGGUACUUUUCCUGAGAACUUGCGCCGGGCUCUCCACCUGAUGGUCUCCUCCACCAGUCCUGUGUGGUCACUGCUGUGGUCUCGGAGACCCAGACG